UACGUAGGGCGCAAGCGUUGUCCGGAAUUAUUGGGCGUAAAGAGCUUGUAGGCGGUCUGUCGCGUCUGCCGUGAAAACCCGAGGCUUAACCUCGUGGCUUGCGGUGGAUACGGGCAGACUAGAGGUAGGUAGGGGAGAAUGGAAUUCCCGGUGUAGCGGUGAAAUGCGCAGAUAUCGGGAGGAACACCGGUGGCGAAGGCGGUUCUCUGGGCCUUACCUGACGCUGAGGAGCGAAAGCGUGGGGAGCGAACAGG
rnacentral:rRNA from 1 species